AAAACCUAAGCGAGAUGCAUAUUGUGAGAAACGGUUGGUAAAGUUUGUUGUGGACUUGUUCCAAAUCCUCAUCAUAUAUCCACCUUUUUCCAAAAUUAAAAAAGUAUUGUAUGCAUUAUUUCUGCUUUCCUCUUAGACUUUACAUUACACAUCCAGCUUUGAUCCAACACACAUUUUUGCUUUAUAUUUUCCCUUUUUGUUUUCUUAUAUGAACUCAGCUCCGCUGUAUAGAUGAUAAACUGUAAAGUAAAGAUAUGAUGUCAGGUUGGCAUUUCAAGUUCAGGCUCAGAAUUCUGGAGCAUUAAUCAAAUUCAAUUAUGCAACUGGAAGACCUGUGUAUACCUAAACAAGAUGGAGUACUGGGAAUCUCAAAGAUUGAUCCGAUGAAUGAAACUCCCCUUCCAUAAUGACAGAUUAGGGACACUCACUGUGUCGGUAUUAAAAGCUAAAUACCACUAAGCUUGAGAUUUUCAGUGUGCAAUUAAAACACCCUUAGACUCAUGGAUUUGGAAAGAUAUUUUGAGUAGAAGUAUUUGCAAUGCAAAAAGUUGUUAUUAGCGGGUAUAUCUCAUAUUGGUUACAUACAAGUUAUUAAGAGAGUUUUUAUAUAGUUUUAUUUUUUGUUUUCUUUGAAUAAUUGGGUUAUUAUUGCUUGUCUGGUUUGUUUGUGUUCAUGUUAACAUGUGUCUUCAACAUGUAUUACUUUUCUUUUGGAUAAAAGCUUUAUUAUUUUUCCAGAAAAUAAUAUCUUUUAAAACAAAUUUGCUUUUUUCCAAUUUUAUUAUUUUAUUUUUGCGAAAAAUCUGGAACAAAUAUAUCUUGC
rnacentral:lncRNA from 1 species